AGCGAACGCUGGCGGCAGGCCUAACACAUGCAAGUCGAACGAACCUUUCGGGGUUAGUGGCGGACGGGUGAGUAACACGUGGGAACGUGCCUUUAGGUUCGGAAUAACUCAGGGGAACUUGUGCUAAUACCGAAUGUGCCCUUCGGGGGAAAGAUUAAUCGCCUUUAGAGCGGCCCGCGUCUGAUUAGCUAGUUGGUUGAGGUAAUGGCUCACCAAGGCGACGAUCAGUAGCUGGUCUGAGAGGAUGAUCAGCCACAUUGGGACUGAGACACGGCCCAAACUCCUACGGGAGGCAGCAGUGGGGAAUCUUGCGCAAUGGGCGAAAGCCUGACGCAGCCAUGCCGCGUGAAUGAUGAAGGUCUUAGGAUUGUAAAAUUCUUUCACCGGGGACGAUAAUGACGGUACCCGGAGAAGAAGCCCCGGCUAACUUCGUG
rnacentral:rRNA from 1 species